rnacentral:sRNA from 1 species
GCUGGGCAUGGUGGCGCAUGCCUGUAAUCCCAAUGACUCAGGAGGCUGAGGCAGGAGGAUUGCAAGCUCAAGACUAGCUUGGGAACUCAGCAAGACCCUAUCUAAA